UUCCAGACUCCUACGGGAGGCAGCAGUGGGGAAUAUUGGACAAUGGGGGAAACCCUUAUCCAGCGACGCCGCGUGAGGGAAGAAGGUUUUCGGAUUGUAAACCUCUGUCAGUGGGGACGAUAAUGACGGUACCCACGGAGGAAGCCACGGCUAACUACGUGCCAGCAGCCGCGGUAAUACGUAGGUGGCAAGCGUUGUCCGGAAUUACUGGGUGUAAAGGGAGCGUAGGCGGGGUGUCAAGUCAGAAGUGAAAAUUAUGGGCUCAACUCAUAACCUGCUUUUGAAACUGAUAUUCUUGAGUGAAGUAGAGGCAAGCGGAAUUCCUAGUGUAGCGGUGAAAUGCGUAGAUAUUAGGAGGAACACCAGUGGCGAAGGCGGCUUGCUGGGCUUUUACUGACGCUGAGGCUCGAAAGCGUGGGGAGCAAACAGGAUUAGAUCCCCGAGUA
rnacentral:rRNA from 1 species